AGAGUUUGAUCAUGGCUCAGAAUGAACGUUGGCGGCGUGGAUUAGGCAUGCAAGUCGUACGGGCCGCAAGGCCAGUGGCGGAAGGGUGAGUAAGGCGACGGCAACCAACCCCGGGCUUGGGCAUAGCUGGCGGAAACGCCAGGUAAUACCCAGCGAUGUUCGCGUGGGGCAUCCCCUGCGAACCAAAGGUGUGAUUCCGGCACGGGACGGGCCGUCGUGGUAUUAGGUUGUUGGUGGGGUGACGGCCCACCAAGCCGACGAUGCCUACCGGGCGUGUGAGCGUGGCCCGGCACACUGGGACUGAGACACUGCCCAGACACCUACGGGUGGCUGCAGUCGAGAAUCUUCGGCAAUGGGCGAAAGCCUGACCGAGCGACGCCGCGUGGAGGACGAAGGCCUUCGGGUUGUAAACUCCUGUCGAGGGGAAUGAAGGGCGCGCGAAGAGCGUGCCUUGACCGAUCCCUGGAGGAAGCACGGGCUAAGUUCGUGCCAGCAGCCGCGGUAAUAC
rnacentral:rRNA from 1 species